rnacentral:piRNA from 1 species
UGACUGGGAGACAAAGUGCAUUCCUAGGU